rnacentral:lncRNA from 1 species
GCAGAUCAUAUGAACUUGUUAAUAGUUAACUAAAACAAAAUGAAAUGCAUAAAAUAGAUACAUUCUUCAACAUAGUAGAGACAAAAAUAACAAUGGACAGCACUUGUUGUCAAAUUGAUUCUUUUCAAAUUUGGAGGUAUCGUGUAUGGUUGUUUUUAAAGAAGAAAAAAACAAACUAAGUGUUAAUUUGAUUGUAUUACUAUAAAAUAUACAGCACACCUAACAAACAUCAUAAUUUUAUCUGUAGCAGUUAAAAAAAGAGUGACAAUUAAAUGUAAAGAAUUAUAACUUCUUUGAAAUAAUAAGUUUGGUUAUUUAAACUAACAAUGCACAGUCCUUUUUUAUUGACCAAUUUUUUUCAGCCUCUUCGAACAUCAGAGUCGUAAAAAUGAGAUAAAAUAAAAUUAUCAAAUGCUUAUCUGACCUAAAUUUGAACAUGUUGGUUAAAUUAUUUCAGUGACCUAUUUUUGACUUCUUACUAUCCAAUGUAUUGAAAUGGAGGUCCAAAAA